rnacentral:misc_RNA from 1 species
UUGGAGGAAACUCCAUUCUGAUCCCUUGCUUAUGAUUCGUCAGCGAGAGCAAGAAGCCCUUGCGCGUGUGAAGAACAACCCUGUCCAGAUGGCCAUGAUUCGUAAAUCUGUUGAAACAAUGAAAAAUAAGGAUAAGAUGCAUGAUGAGAAAGAGAAGGAUGAACGCAGACAUAAACAUCGAGACAAGAAAUCAAAGCCUCAUCAUUCGAAGUCAAAGCAUUUGAAGAAUUCACCUAGACAAACCUCUGAUGCAGAUGAAUACUUGAGUGAAGAUGAUUCUAGGAGAAAGAGAGAGUCUCGCAAGGACAAGAAGAUUAAUGAUCAGAAAGCUUCUAUCGUACGAGAUCCUCAAGGAGGCAAUGAUUUUUACAAAGAAAAAACUAAGAUUAGGAAUGAUAAUGAAGCUGUAAAACAUGAGAGGCAUGCAAGAUCUGAUCUGCCAAGGCAAGAAUCCCAUCGUAACUCUCGUGAGCAUACAAGGUCUGAUAUACCAAGGCAUGAAUCCCAUCGUAACUCUCAUGAGCAGACAAGAUCUGAUAUACCAAGGGACGAAUCCCAUCGUAACUCUCGUGAGCAUACAAGGUCUGAUAUACCAAGGCAUGAAUCCCAUCGUAACUCUCAUGAGCAGACAAGAUCUGAUAUACCAAGGGAC